GUUUUGUUUCCCCUUUUUCUACAGGGAUACAGUCAUGUGGAUUCUCCUUGUAAAACUCCAAGAACACAGGCUGACAUCACAUACCCUUUCUUAAUAAUUUUCCCACUCUCCUCAGUUCUUACUCCCUUUGGGACCAAAGGGACCACAUUAGCAGACACAGCCUGGUGGGUUCCACUAUCGGUUUUCAGGGUCAAGCUGCUGCCUCCACACUGAGGAUAGUGGAACCAGAAGAGCUCAAAGUCACAAACAGCAACAGAAACUAUGGGUCCUGGUCUGCUGGCACCUGAUAGAAAGAGAUGAGAUCCAUUCUUAAAUGGAACACUAACAGGAUGGCAUCUAAUGAAUGACUGAGACUUUAGUCAGACUGAGUGGAAACACUGGAGCCAAUCAGAGCUAUGUCUCAGAAGAAAUACACAAAUAUCCAGGAUGUCAUACCAAGGAGAGGAGUGAUUUGGGCUGCCUCUCCCUCCUCCACAGUAACCUCCCUCACCUAAGUGAUCUUGUCAAACAAGAACGACACAGGACAUUCGGAUCCUUCUGCAGUAAAGCUUUUAAUGCGUCUUGAGAGGAGAGCAUAAGCUUACCAGAGCGGAGACCCCGAGCCAAGAAUCCCGUCCCCUAAUAAAGGCUGGCAGCCGC
rnacentral:lncRNA from 1 species